AACCUGGUUGAUCCUGCCAGUAGUCAUAUGCUUGUCUCAAAGAUUAAGCCAUGCAUGUCUAAGUUUAAGUACUAUGAAUGACGAAACUGCGAACGGCUCAUUAAAACAGUGAUAAUUGAUUUGAUGGACAUUCUACACGGAUAACCGUGGGAAACCAAGGCUAAUACGUGCAUAAGACUUCGGUCUGAGUUUAUUAGCUUAAGAUCCAUUUUGUGAUGGUUCAUGGUAAAUGAUCGGAUCGCACGCUUUCAGCGGCGAUGGUUCAUUCAAGUCUCUGACCUAUCAGCUUUCGACGGUCGGGUAUUGGCCCACCGUGGCUUUGACGGGUAACGGGGAAUUAGGGUUCGAUUCCGGAGAGGGAGCCUGAGAAACGGCUACCACGUCUAAGGAUGGCAGCAGGCGCGUAAAUUACCCAAUUCUGACAUAGAGAGGUAGUGACAAGAAAUAGCAACGUGAGGCAAUAGCUUUGCGAUUGCAAUGAGUAGAAUCUACACGUUUCUACGAGUAACAAUUGGAGGGCAAGUCUGGUGCCAGCAGCCGCGGUAAUUCCAGCUCCAAUAGCGUAUAUUAAAGUUGUUGCAGUUAAAACGCUCGUAGUUGAAUAUCUGCUAUAUGUGGUCGGUCCACUUCGGUGUGAUCCGUUUCACGAAAUAGCAUUCGUUUGCUUUGAUUUAUCAUUGCAAACCGUUUACUUUGAGGAAAUUAGAGUGUUCAAAGCAGGCAAGUGCCUUGAAUACUUCAGCAUGGAAUAAUUGAUAGGACUUCCGUUCUGUCGUUGGUUCUGGGAAUGUGAAGUAAUGAUUAAAAGGGGCGGGCGGGGGCAUUCGUAUUGAACAGUCAGAGGUGAAAUUCUUAGAUUUGUUCAAGACGAACUACUGCGAAAGCAUUUGCCAAGUACGUUCCCAUUAAUCAAGAACGAAAGUUAGGGGAUCGAAGACGAUCAGAUACCGUCGUAGUCUUAACUAUAAACUAUGCCGACUAGAGAUUGGAGGUGAGUCAUUUGGCCACCUUCAGCAUCUUCAGAGAAAUCUAAGUUUUUGGGUUCUGGGGGGAGUAUGGUCGCAAGGCUGAAACUUAAAGGAAUUGACGGAAGGGCACCACCAGGAGUGGAGCCUGCGGCUUAAUUUGACUCAACACGGGGAAACUCACCAGGUCCAGACAUGGGAAGGAUUGACAGACUGAUAGCUCUUUCUUGAUUCUAUGGGUGGUGGUGCAUGGCCGUUCUUAGUUCGUGGACUGAUUUGUCUGGUUGAUUCCGAUAACGAGCGAGAUCUUAACCUGCUAACUAGGUCUUCAGAAUGCGUUCUGCUGUGCCUUCUUAGAGGGACUUUGCAUAUUUAGUGUAAGGAGGUUUGAGGCAAUAACAGGUCUGUGAUGCCCUUAGAUGUUCUGGGCUGCACGCGCGCUACAAUGACACUCUCAGCGAGUUUCCUUUCCCGAAAGGGUUGGGUAAUCUUGUUAGUGAAUGUCGUAAUGGGGAUAGAAUAUUGUAAUUAUUGCUCUUAAACGAGGAAUUCCUAGUAAGCGCAAGUCAACAGCUUGCGCUGAUUACGUCCCUGCCCUUUGUACACACCGCCCGUCGCUGCUACCGAUGGGUGAUCCGGUGAAUGAUUUGGACUUUGUCUAUGCUAGCUACUAGCUACGUCAGGGGAAACUUUGUGAACCUUAUCACUUGGAGGAAGCAGAAGUCGUAACAAGGUUUCCGUAGGUGAACCUGCGGAAGGAUCAUUCGCGUUA
rnacentral:rRNA from 1 species